UACGUAGGGGCCGAGCGUUGUCCGGAAUCAUUGGGCGUAAAGAGCGUGUAGGCGGCCACUUAAGUCCUGCGUGAAAUCCUGCGGCUCAACCGCAGGCGGUCGUGGGAAACUGGGUGGCUAGAGUGCGGGAGAGGAGAGUGGAAUUCCUGGUGUAGCGGUGGAAUGCGCAGAUAUCAGGAAGAACACCCGUGGCGAAGGCGGCUCUCUGGAACGCAACUGACGCUGAGACGCGAAAGCGUGGGGAGCAAACAGG
rnacentral:rRNA from 1 species